GCCAGGGAGAGGCUGCUUCUCAGAAAACAAGCCCUCAAGAUGAAGAAGCAACCAGUGCUUGCUGUUGGGAGGAGCAAUAUUGUUACUGGAGUUGCAAAAAAUAUCAAAGAACACUUUAAGAAGUAUCCUCUUGCGAUUGUGAAUGUCAAAGGAAGGGCAAAAGGGACUUCAGUUAGGGAGGUGGUUUUUAAGCUGGAGCAAGCUACAGGUGCUGUUCUUGUUUCUCAAGAGCCAAGCAAAGUCAUAUUGUAUAGAGGUUGGGGACCAGGUGGAGAGCGUGGUGCUUCUAAUGGAAAUGACACCAGUAAUUCGAAAAACAGCA
rnacentral:misc_RNA from 1 species